GACGUAGGGGGCCAGCGUUGCUCGGAAUUACUGGGCGUAAAGGGUUCGUAGGCGGUGUGGCAAGUCGGGAGUGAAAUCUCUGGGCUUAACUCAGAGGCUGCUUCCGAAACUGCCGUGCUAGAGUGCGGGAGAGGCGAGUGGAAUUGCAGGUGUAGCGGUGAAAUGCGUAGAUAUCUGCAGGAACACCCGUGGCGAAGGCGGCUCACUGGGUCUCUUCUGACGCUGAGGCACGAAAGCUAGGGUAGCGAACGGG
rnacentral:rRNA from 1 species